AAGUCGUAACAAGGUUUCCGUAGGUGAACCUGCGGAAGGAUCAUUAUCACGUAUCCACGUAUAAACCAAUGUGAACCGUUUUUGCCUUUGGGAGUUAAGCUGGAUAGCAUUUAGUUCAUUGUGUGGUUUUGAACUGCUAUCCGAUUUGUUUGUUUCCUCCGGGAUCAUUCAUAACACGGCUUUACUUCUGAAGCGUAUUUAAAUCACACUUUUAAAAACUCAUUAACCACUUGAACCAAAUUAUUUAUCUUUGUUUGAACUGAUUUGUUUCUUACUCUACUCGAAAGAGCGGAGAAGAAA
rnacentral:misc_RNA from 1 species